UUCCAAAUCGUUACGAUUUGCUUUUGCUUCUUCAGCACUCGUACGUUUUGACUAAUCCGGAAAAAAAAUCAUUUCACAUUUUUGAAAUAAAAAUAUGGUAACUCCAUGAAAAAAAAGUCGUAAACAAAUUAUUGACAAUUAAAAAAGGAGUUUAAAUUGUUUUUUAUAAUAUAAACACCAAAAAUAAAAAUGCCAGGGGCUUCAAUACUUGCUGUAAUGGAUGAAGAAAUAAAUCAGCGGUCUACUGAAAAAAUUCGUCGCCGGACAUUGAGGAACGCAUCAGAUCCUUUAUCUCACUCAAAUGCAGAAUUUAUAACUUAUUAUCGGCUAAAUAAAGAAGCUUUUGUUUUAGUUUUGGAAAAAAUUUCUCCCCACCUCAAUCGUUCCAAUAUACCGGCUAUUAUCCAGCUUGCAACAACGCUUAGGUUUUUGGCUACGGGUGCAUUUCAAGGAGUUAUAGGUAGAGAUGUGGAGCUAAGCCUUGGGAGAAGUACAGUUUCUACAAUUAUGUGGAGAGUUAUUAAUGCAAUUGAAGCUGUCUCAAACCAAGCAAUUAAUUGCUUGCAAUUUGCUUUUUGAUCUGUCAGUUGUACAUUUCUACACCUUCUUCUUCAACACAUAUGGCAAUAAUUCAACAAUACAAGUCUGCCGUUCAUUUCUGCAUAUUUUUUUGCGUUUUCAUCAUGGAUUAGAAAAAUAAUAGAUUUUUUGUAAAAUAAAUUCCAAAAACAU